GAACAGGGAAUAACAUGUUAAAAAUAAGUACCUUCUGAUUGCCAAGUGUUACAUGAGGAUCUUCAAGCUGGCCAUUGUUCUCAGGCGGGCUCUGCUGUAAUGACAAUUCAGUGUUUUUAAAAGCCUGUUGGUUCCCAAAGCUGGUCUCAUUGGCUGUUGGUUUAUCAGCCUGGGCCAUCACAACUUUUGGCCCCCAAGGUGUUGGCUCCUCUUGUUUUCUCUGUCCAGAGACAACCCGAGCAGUUGGCUGGUUCACCUUCUACAAUGAGGUAAGGGAGCAAAAUUAUCAUGAGAUACAAUUGUAUGAAAAUUGAAAAGUGGGCAGUUCAAAUAACUUACUGCUAAUGUAGUUUAUUUAAAACAGUAACAAACAUAGUGUUGUGCAUGCCUGUAUUUUGUGGCGCUACAUACAAAUUUAACAACAAAACCC
ensembl:lncRNA